rnacentral:rRNA from 1 species
AUUGAACGCUGGCGGCAGGCCUAACACAUGCAAGUCGAGCGAGCGGCGGACGGGUGAGUAAUGUAUGGGGACUGCCCGAUAGAGGGGGAUAACUACUGGCAACGGUGGCUAAUACCGCAUACUAUCGGAUAACCCCUAUGGGAUUAGCUAGUAGGUGGGGUAAAGGCUCACCAAGGAGACGAUCUCUAGCUGGUCUGAGAGGCUGAUCAGCCACACGUGGACUGAGACAGGGCACAGACUCCUACGGGGGCAGCGGGGGGGAAUAUUGGCCAAUGGGCGCAAGCCUGAUGCAGCCAUGCCGCGGGUAUGAAGAAGGCCGUAGGGUUGUAAAGGACUUUCAGCGGGGAGGCGUUACCCGCAGAGGAAGCACCGGCUAACUCCGUGCCAGCAGCCGCGGUAAUUC